AUGAGUCUUCUUUGCUUUGUGACAGGUUCAGCAUGUUUAGGUUAUGACAGUAAGUUUAUGUUAUGUGCUUGUAAUGGUUUUGGCAGGUAUGGUGAGGUUUUGACAGCAGGUAAGCUUCAGGCUUGGUGGUUUAUCAGAUUUUUUCAGUUUUUUUUUGCUUCAGGCCAGGACCUUGUAGUUUUUAUAUUUUUCCUCUCUUCCCCCUUCUUGCUGAACUGUGUUCUCCUUUGUAUAUCUUUUCUUGUUAUGCUGAACUGUCUAAACCUAAAGCCUGAAAACCUGCUUCUAUUCUCUCUUUUUCUCUCUCUGUAG